rnacentral:misc_RNA from 1 species
AAAGUCGUAACAAGGUUUCCGUAGGUGAACCUGCGGAAGGAUCAUUAUCAAAACAGCGGACUUCGGUCCUUGCUGCACCCUUGUCUUUUGCGUACCGUAUGUUUCCUCGGCGGGCUUGCCUGCCGAUUGGACAAACUUAUAACCUUUUUAAUUUUUAAAUCAGCGUCUGAAAAACUUAAUAAUUACAACUUUUAACAACGGAUCUCUUGGUUCUG